UGGGGAAUAUUGCACAAUGGAGGGAACUCUGAUGCAGCGACGCCGCGUGAACGAAGAAGGCUUUCGAGUCGUAAAGUUCUUUUAUAUGGGAAGAUAAUGACGGUACCAUAAGAAAAAGCCCCGGCUAACUACGUGCCAGCAGCCGCGGUAAUACGUAGGGGGCUAGCGUUGUCCGGAAUCACUGGGCGUAAAGGGUUCGCAGGCGGAAAUGCAAGUCAGGUGUAAAAGGCAGUAGCUUAACUACUGUAAGCAUUUGAAACUGCAUAUCUUGAGAAGAGUAGAGGUAAGUGGAAUUUUUAGUGUAGCGGUGAAAUUCGUAGAUAUUAAAAAGAAUACCGGUGGCGAAGGCGGCUUACUGGGCUCAUUCUGACGCUGAGGAACGAAAGCGUGGGUAGCAAACAGG
rnacentral:rRNA from 1 species